UAUAAAUCUGGUAUGAUAAUGUUAAUAAUAAUAAUAAUAAUAAUAAUACUAGUAAUAAUAAUGUGGUGCGCUGGAGAUAAAAUAAGAUGUCGUACGCACGAGAUAAGAUGAUGAGCGCUUGAAAUAAGCUGUCAUGCGCACGAGAUAAUUUAAUCUUUAAAAAUGUAUGUCCUUAACAUUCCACUGUGGAAUAUUCCAUAUUUAACGACUUUUUGUAAUAACACAUAUAACAAAAAUUUACAUAUGAAAGUUAUUUAAAGAACGUCAUGUCUACGUAUUACUUGUUUGCGUACAUCACCGGGAAGCAAGGCAGGUGUCUCAAGACGAGAGCAGCUCUACAUUUUCUGAGGAAAAAAAAACAACAAACAAAACAGUAUUUCGUGUCAAUACUUGACAUUCUUUAAUUUUGUCGCUUGAAAAAUUGUUAAAUGAUAUAACAUACGGUCGUUUAAUGGGCAUAGAUACUUAAAGUUUACAAAAAUAACCUUUUUUUUAAAAAAAAACCUUUUGGUGGAAUAUCUGUUGUCAUUACAAUUUUAAGAAAACGUUUAUAGUGACCCGCAUUUAAAACUGAUUCGGAAUACCCAAGAAGACCGUAUUUGAAUAACUUUAGGUUUACAAUUUCCUUUUUAUAAAUUGUAUUUGCCUUAUUUCACGCAUUUUGCACAUGGGAUUUGAUAAAUAACACCCGACAAGUUAAAUGUGAAAAAGGUACAUAUAAUCGUUUGAGACACGGAAUCUGUUGGAUUUACUUUCUGUUGUUACAACUGUGACCGAGAAGACGUUGAAGGAAAAUGCCUGCGAAACUUUAUACCUUUGCGAUGUUUUUCAUCCUACUGGUAAUAAUAAAUAGCAUAACAGAAGUGUCUAGUCAGGCUUGUGUGAAACGCUUCAGGAACGGACAUUUCUACUGUAUGAAAAUAUCCACUAAAUGUCCGUCAUGUUGGUGGAUUGGCAGUACAUGCCGGUGUUCUAGCGGAUCGGCUGUCGCAAGAUUUAUCUCCCACGUAAAAGAGAACAAGCCAGACAGAAAAUCGCUUUUGAAUACUGAUGGUACGGAUGGAAAUGCGCAUCUGAAAAGUCUGAUUGCAAAAUAUAUUCAUAGCAAGUUGCAACACUAACUUUUAUAUUGAUUUACCGGAAACAACCAUAUUAUUCGUUGUUACCAUAGAGUUUGUUAAAAUAUGUCGGAAAUCUAAAGUGUACACCAUAGUUUAUGUACACAAACAGUCUCGUUUAUAUAAACGAAAGAGUCAGAAUGGAUUAAGUGCUAGGGGCGCAAGGUGUGAUGCACAUUUCAUUACCUCUCUUGAAUCAAGUCUACUGUAUAUAUGCUGCUUGGUUCGUUCUUUGCAUCCAAGGGAUCUUUUUACAGAUAAUAUCAAGAUGCAUGAUAACGUUGAACUACAAUUAGAACUACCAACUACCAAUAACAACUGCCACAUGGGGGAAAGGAUGUAACAUUUUUGUGGCAUUGGUAUAUGCAAGUACACGAUGUGAAUAAACUAACGAGUGUUCUUUGCCACUUCUAUCUUUUUUUUUUGUAAAAGAGGAUUUCUGUUUCUUGCUACCCCAGUGGUAUAGGUGUACAAGAAAAUAAUGUUAUCUGUAUUUCUUAACAGAUUGGCUCAUUACUGUGUGCCAAGGAUGCUUUGGUUCAAUUUAAUAUAUCAUACUUUUUGCUAUAUUAAGAUAUUAUAUAGUUUUAGAGAGUAGAAAGGUUGAUCAAAGUAUCAUAGUAACCUAAAUGUAAAUAAAAACGUUUAAUAUUCUUAAAACCAUAUGACUUGUCUUUUUGUAUGAUUCAUGGUCAAAUUAGGGAAUCAUUGGCGAAGUGAUUUAACGAUCGAUGUUAAUAUCCCCACUUGUGUUCAUUGCUAGGUGAUUUACAUAAAUUGGCACUAUUUCAAGCAGUAUCAGCUUAGAUUUCAUGCAGGAAAGGUAAAUAUGACACCUGCUUGGGGCUCGACAACAAACAAGCUGUUCCAUUCUUUACAGGAGGCGACAUCCUUCGAUCUUCCCAUACUACUUGUUCCAUCCUUUACAGGAGGCGACAUCCUUCGACCUUCCCAUACUACUUGAAACAGGAAAGUUUUACAUUUCGAAUAAACAUAU
rnacentral:lncRNA from 1 species